AUGGGGAGCCCUCUCAGCCCAGUAGUAGCAAAUUUCUAUAUGGAAUACUUUGAAAAACAGGCCCUAGAAACAGCACCAAAAAAGCCAACUGUUUGGUUCAGAUACGUAGAUGACACCUUCACAAUUUGGAGCCAUGGAGAGGAAGAACUCAGCAAGUUCCUGGACCAUCUUAACAGCAUCCACCCAAACAUCCAAUUCACCAUGGAAAAAGAAAAGGAAGGAAAACUGCCAUUUCUAGAUGUUCUGGUCAUCCGCAAACCCAAUCAACAAUUGGGCCACACAGUUUACAGAAAACCUACACACACAGAUAGAUACCUUCAUAAAAACUCCAACCAUCACCCAAGUCAAAAAAGGAGCACAAUCAAAGCCCUGACAGACCGUGCACAAAGAAUCUGCGAACCUCACCUCCUCCAAGGUGAACUCAACCACCUAAACUGGGCUCUACAAGCCAAUGGAUACUCCACCACAGACAUCAGAAGAGCUGCAAGGCCAAGAACAAGCCAUGAGAGUCAAGACAAAGAUCCACCCAGAGGAAAGGUGUCCUUACCAUACAUCAAGGGGACUACUGACCGCAUAGGGAAGCUGAUGAAGAAGCACAACCUACAAACUAUCUACAGACCCACGAAGAAAAUCCAACAAAUGCUACGGUCAGCGAAGGACAAGAGGGAUCCUCUCUCUUCUGCAGGAGUCUACCGGAUACCAUGCAGCUGUGGACAAGUCUACAUAGGGACCACCAAACGCAGCGCCCAAACAAGAGUCAAAGAACAUGAAAGGCACUGCAGACUAAUUCAACCAGAGAAAUCAGCCAUAGCAGAGCAUUUGAUGAACCAGCCUGGACACAGAAUACUAUUUGAGAACACAAAAAUGCUGGACCAUUCUAACAACUAUCAUGUCAGACUACACAGAGAAGCCAUUGAAAUCCACAAGCAUGUGGACAACUUCAACAGAAAGGAAGAAACCAUGAAAAUGAACAAAAUCUGGCUACCAGUAUUACAAAACUCAAAAAUCAGAACAGUAAAUAAAAAGCAAUACUCUGAAAACAGAGGGUUUCCAGACAUGAAUCAACCAAGGGCAGUUAACGACUCUAAACAAAGGAUGCCCCAGAGGCAGGAAGAAGACAGCAGAUAA
rnacentral:lncRNA from 1 species